UUCAAGUGUCCAGCCUCCGGAGCUCUUCAUUUUGUCGGGCUGUGGUUUUAAACGACCCCCCUCGUAACGCUGAGCAUUGUUGGGCUUAGAACCAUAAGCUUCGCUUGACGUUGAUCCAUGGCUUCUACCAACGUAGUGAGCCGACUCUUUUCGUCUCCAUUUCAGAUUCAGUGGAUUCGCGUGCGUUUUGUGUCAGCAUGAUCAGAAUAGUGAUGUGUUCAUCACUGUUCGCUAUCGCUUUCCAAGUGGAGAGUAAUGGGACUCUAGACGAGACUAGGGGAGAGUGUUCAGAACCAGUGGGCCUGCGAUGUAGAGAGUGGAAUACACACAAGAAAUUUCUGUGAAUCGCAGAAUUGAUAAUGCAUCAGGAAAUCAAGGGCACAAACCGCGGUGCUUUUGAAAAGAAAAAUUCACCAGAGGUACGAAGGUUGAUCGAUCUUUGAUGAUGUCAACGAACUUCUUACAAGCUGCUUGUUUUCGUCAAGCGAUCAGCUGUGCUUCUCGAAUCAAAGCAUUUGGUAUACCGGUGAGCGCCAUAACUUCUUCCCCAUAGAACUUGCAGCUGUCGCCAUUGUCAGUUGUCCUAUGUCAAUCAAUGCUGUCCAAGUAAGAUAUUUAGCACUUAACUACUCUAAUUUUUUGACGGUUUUUAGUGCAAUCAAUACCAUUAUCUGAGGUGGAGCAAUUAUAACAGGAUAAUCAAGACAUUAUCAAUAACAAUUGCAUUGUGCAUUUGCUUGUUGGUAAAAUUGAUCUUUAUUUUAUAGCUACUUUGAAGCUGAAGAGUAUAUACGCCAAUCACUGUAGACAUUAUUGAAAGCUUUGAAACUAAUGUACCAUGUAGUACUAUCAUGUUUAUCUAUUUACUUAUUUUUAUGACAUAAACAUCUUCAACUUGG